AAAAAGGCUCUUUUCAGAGCCACCCACACUUUCUCUUAAAAGUAC
rfam:Felis catus isolate Cinnamon breed Abyssinian chromosome B2, whole genome shotgun sequence.